rnacentral:rRNA from 1 species
UGGCGCACGGGUGCGUAACGCGUAUGCAACCUACCUUCAACUGGGGAAUAGCCCCUCGAAAGAGGGAUUAAUACCCCAUAGUAAUUAGAUAAGGCAUCUUAUUUAGUUUAAAGUUCCGGCGGUUGAAGAUGGGCAUGCGUGACAUUAGCUAGUUGGUGAGGUAAUGGCUCACCAAGGCUACGAUGUCUAGGGGUUCUGAGAGGAUGAUCCCCCACACUGGUACUGAGACACGGACCAGACUCCUACGGGAGGCAGCAGUAAGGAAUAUUGGUCAAUGGACGCAAGUCUGAACCAGCCAUGCCGCGUGAAGGAUGACGGCCCUAUGGGUUGUAAACUUCUUUUGUACGGGAAUAAACCCUUCUACGUGUAGAAGGCUGAAUGUACCGUAAGAAUAAGGAUCGGCUAACUCCGUGCCAGCAGCCGCGGUAAUACGGAGGAUCCAAGCGUUAUCCGGAUUCAUUGGGUUUAAAGGGUGCGUAGGCGGAUUUGUAAGUCAGUGGUGAAAGCCUGCAGCUCAACUGCAGAACUGCCAUUGAUACUGCAAGUCUUGAGUACACUUGACGUGGGCGGAAUGUGUCAUGUAGCGGUGAAAUGCUUAGAUAUGACACAGAACACCGAUUGCGAAGGCAGCUCACGAAAUUGUAACUGACGCUGAGGCACGACAGCGUGG